rnacentral:rRNA from 1 species
AUUGAACGCUGGCGGCAUGCUUUACACAUGCAAGUCGAACGGUAACAGGCCGCAAGGUGCUGACGAGUGGCGAACGGGUGAGUAAUGCAUCGGAACGUGCCCAGUCGUGGGGGAUAACGCAGCGAAAGCUGUGCUAAUACCGCAUACGAUCUGUGGAUGAAAGCGGGGGACCUUCGGGCCUCGCGCGAUUGGAGCGGCCGAUGUCAGAUUAGGUAGUUGGUGUGGUAAAGGCUCACCAAGCCAACGAUCUGUAGCUGGUCUGAGAGGACGACCAGCCACACUGGGACUGAGACACGGCCCAGACUCCUACGGGAGGCAGCAGUGGGGAAUUUUGGACAAUGGGCGCAAGCCUGAUCCAGCAAUGCCGCGUGCAGGAAGAAGGCCUUCGGGUUGUAAACUGCUUUUGUACGGAGCGAAAAGGCUCCCUCUAAUACAGGGGGCUCAUGACGGUACCGUAAGAAUAAGCACCGGCUAACUACGUGCCAGCCGCCGCCGUAAUAC